GUGCUCGCUUCAGCAAUACAUAUAAUAACAUUGGGACAAUAUGGUGAAGAUUAGCAUGGCCCCUGUGCAAGGAUGACACACAAAUUCACGAAGCGUUCCGUAUUUUU